UCAACUGCAGACUAAUAUAAUCUGAUAUUUGGAGAACUGAUCUAUAAUCAUCUGCUCAUCGAGUUUAGGAUUUCGAUCUGUUUAAGUUAUCAUCAGUUUCUUCGAUUUUAGGGUUCAUCAUCCAUUAAAUCAGAUUUUAGAGUUUCAUUUUAGGGUUUUUUUCUUGAUUUGGUUGCGAUUCGGGAGAAAUGGAAGUUUGUUGCUGAGGGGUAUUCUUUGGUAAAGAGCUUGUUGAAGAUCGUUACUCUGGUGUUGAAGUUAGGGUUACUCUUAUCAUCCUGUGAGAAAUGAAAUCAUCAUCAGAUCUAACUCAAGGAGUAAGUAGGUGAUCGAAGAGAACAUAGAUUGAAAAUGGUGGAGAAGCAUAUAUCUUGUUAUGUGCAGCAAAGUCGUCCCACCUUCUUCCGUUAUGGAAGCUAUUGUCUUGAGAUGCCACGUAGUAGAUGAUGAGACAGGAAAUCUUUCUUGGCAAGGACGUGCUGAUUUUUAUCUAAGGUGCAUUUUAUCCAGUCUUCCUUGGGAGGAGCUGGGUUAGUUGAGGUACUGGCAUCCUGAUAUGGAACUUAUGGUUGUGGUGCCAUUUAUUGUUUGUAUAGUAUAUGUGGUUUACAUUUAUUCCAUCCUGAUAUGGAAUCGUUGUUUAGGGAUAUACGUGUAUCGACAGGCAAACACAACCAUAUAUACUAGUGGAUCUGUUCAUAUUUUGACAUGGUUUACUUAAGAAAAUGUUCGGUGUAACCCCCUUAUAUGAUUCUCAAUGUGGCCGAUUCGUAAGAAAUUGAGAUGUCACUCUACAAUUCUAGCAGAAGGAACUUGGAAAAGUAACUUCGGUUUCCGUUUUUACCAUACACAUCUGAACACUUCAACAUACAGUUGUAUGUUUAAUGAUAUAAUGCAUAUACAGGAGCUAUAUAGGUUCUACAUCUCAAACUUAGAUACAUGUACCCGCACAUUGUCUAUUACAUUGGUUGCUCAUCUGCCUGAAAUGGUUAAGCCUUCUUAAGGAACUUGGUGUUGCAGCAAGUUCCCGAUGAGAUUGAAAGGGUUAUGGUUGGUAUUGAAGCUUACUUGAGCAUUAGGAAGCGUACUUAUUAUAUUGGUGUCUCUGUUUUUGAGUUUGAUGAUGAAAGUGUGAAAGCUCGUAAUGAAAAGGAUUUCUUAGAAGAUUUGUGGGAUAGGAUAAAAGUGUUGCCCAAUAGUUGAUGGAAAGUCGACAGUGCUGCUACUCCCUGAACCGCCCUUCAACCGAUGUACUACACUUUAGUUAUUAUCGACCUUUGCAAGGCUCUUCCUGGGGCAUUUCCAGCAGUGGUGGCUGGAGCAGUUCGCGCUCUCUUCGAGAGGAUGGUUGAUCUGGAUAUCGAGUGCAGGAUGCGGCUUAUCCUAUGGUUUUCACAUCACUUGUUGCCUUUCUGGCCUCUGCAGUAGGGACAAGAGUUUCCGCAGCCUGUGCACAUGCAUCAUUAACAGAAUUGUCCAAGGAGGAAAACCAGCUAGUCACAAGAUCCAAACAAAUGGAUCUGAAGAUAGGUGCGAACAUGCAAUCCAUAAGUGGCUCUAAUUAUUUAUUUUUUUUACUGGUCAAAAUGUUGUCUAGUGAUUGAUUCUUCUUGAAGGUAUUUCGUAUUAUCUUUUUGCUGCAACUAUUUGUAUGAGUCUGUUAGAGACUAUUUGGAGUAGAGAAGGUGGACAUCAUGGAUCACCCACAAGUUAAAGCCACCAAAAAGAAAACCAGGUUGUACAAGAUGGAAUUAAUGCUCUUUCCUCUGCUCCUUUGUCCACUCAAAGUGUAAAAGUUGCUGCAAAAGUUGGCCUAGCUGCAGCUGCAAUGAAAGCAAAACUGUUUGCAGAUCAUGAGGAGCGCGAAAUACAGAGAAUGGCAGCCUGUAUAAUUAAUCAUCAGCUAAAGAGGCUCGAACUGAAGCUGAAGCAGUUUGCGGAAGUGGAGACCUUGCUGAUGAAAGAACGCAAGCAAGUAUAAAAGGCAAGGCAGCGGCUAGCAGCUGAAAGAGUCCAUAUCAUAUCAACGCGUUUUAUGUGUUCCCUUGGAAAUUUGGAACCUAGUAGGUUUCUAUGUGUUCCCUUGGAAAUUUGGAACCUAGUAGGUUUCCAUGUAUUCCCUUAGAAAUUUAACACUUGGCAAAAAAAAAGGUUGGUACUUAGAUAAAUUUCAGUUAUUUGAUUAUAUGAAUAUGAUAUGAAUAGAUUGAAGAAAUUGUUGUUGAGUGUGGUUAUGAAUGCAUUGAAAGGUGUAUGCAGGGUAUUGAAUUUAGAAUUCCGGCUUAUUUCCGGUAGA